UGUAAUAUAGAAUAUAUUCCGUAGACAGUAGGUGCUAGUUGAUAGCGUAAAGAUUGAUUCGCCUACCGAGGAUUCCAAUGCUUAGAAGUAAUGGUUUCUUCGUUUUGCGGAGAAACCUUUAAUUUUUUAAAA
rfam:Clostridium tepidiprofundi DSM 19306 CLTE_contig000048, whole genome shotgun sequence.